GAGUAUAAAGCUAUCUCACCUUUUAUUGAUGGUUCAUUCCGAUAGCAAACACUGAAAGACGAGUAUCAUCAUGAAGACUGCUUGCCUAAUUGUUCUCUUGGUCACGUGCGUUUUGUUUUCAAGUAUGCCACAGGCUGAAGCCCAGAAUGAUUACUAUCCACCUGGUGGUAAUAAUUGCGUGUGCAGAAUGCAGUGCCGGCCAAGAGAGUGGAAUGCAGGUAGCUGUUCUUGGAAUAGAAUCAGAUGUUGCAGCAGGGGUAACACCAACUAUUAGAAGUCAGCCGACCAUAAGGAACCCAUGCAGUUGGAUUAUUGAGACAUCGAAUUAUACAAUAAAGUUCAAGUUAUGUAGAGUUGUUGUUGUCAUUCGAAUAAAACAGCUGCAUUUA